rnacentral:rRNA from 1 species
UACGAAGGGGGCUAGCGUUGUUCGGAAUUACUGGGCGUAAAGCGCAUGUAGGCGGGUCGUUAAGUCGGGGGUGAAAGCCCAGAGCUCAACUCUGGAACUGCCUUCGAUACUGGCGACCUGGACCCAAGGAGAGGCGAGUGGAAUUGCGAGUGUAGAGGUGAAAUUCGUAGAUAUUCGCAGGAACACCAGUGGCGAAGGCGACUCGCUGGACUUGUGGUGACGCUGAGAUGCGAAAGCGUGGGGAGCAAACAGG